rnacentral:rRNA from 1 species
AACCUGCGGAAGGAUCAUAAC